UGGCAGACGAGGUAGUAACACGUAGGAACGAACCCCGUAGUCAGGGAUAACCCGUCGAAAGACGGACUAAUACUUGAUACACUCGCGAGAGGAAAGACAUGCCUAACGGCAGUCGCUAUGGGAUCGGCCUGCGACGUAUCAGCUAGUUGGUAGGGUAAUGGCCUACCAAGGCUAUGACGCGUAGGGGAGGUGAGAGCCUGACCCCCACCGAUGGGACUGCGACACGGCCCAUACACCUACGGGUGGCUGCAGUCGAGAAU
rnacentral:rRNA from 1 species